rnacentral:rRNA from 1 species
GUCUGGUGCCAGCAGCCGCGGUAAUUCCAGCUCCAGUAGCGUAUCUUAAAGUUGUUGCAGUUAAAAAGCUCGUAGUUGGACUUCUAGAAACAAUGUCAGGCUCCAGGGAGUUCGCUCCUAAGGUGGCUCUUACAAGUUUCUUUUUUGCUGGAAUCCUAUCUACCAUUAAUUUGGUCGGAUGGUGUUUUUCUAGCUCUUUUACUUUGAGAAAAAUAGCGUGCUCAAAGCAGGCGUUUUGCCUUGUAUAUGUUAGCAUGGGAUAAUAAUAAAGACUGCGUGUUUAUGUUGUUGGUUAUGAACAUGUGGUAAUGAUCGAUGGGAACGGCUUGGGGGUCUCGGUAUUCUGUAGGGAGAGGUGAAAUUCUUGGAUCUAUGGAAGACCACCUGCUGCGAAAGCGUUGACCAAAGACGUCUCCGUCAAUCAAGAACGAGAGUUGGGGGAUCGAAGACGAUCAGAUACCGUCGUAGUCCCAACCAUAAACUAUGCCAGCUGAGGAUUGGUGAACGUUUCUAUGACUUCAUCAGCACUCCGUGGGAAACCAAAGCAUUCGGGUUCCGGGGGGAGUAUGAUCGCAAGGUUGAAACUUAAAGAAAUUGACGGGAAUUCACCUCCGGGCGAGGAGCAUGUGGCUUAAUUUGACUCAACACGGGGAAACUUAUCAGGUCCAGACACGCUUAGGACUGACAGAUUGACAGCUCUUUCUUGAUUGCGUGAAUAGUGGUGCAUGGCCGUUCUU